rnacentral:rRNA from 1 species
UUAAGUUAAUAAGGGCGCACGGUGGAUGCCUUGGCACUAGAAGCCGAUGAAGGACGUGACUAACGACGAAAUGCUUUGGGGAGCUGUAAGUGAGCAAUGAUCCAGAGAUGUCCGAAUGGGGGAACCCGGCAGGUAAUGCCUGUCACUCAUUACUGUUAAGGUAAUGUAGAGGAAGACGCAGUGAACUGAAACAUCUAAGUAGCUGCAGGAAGAGAAAGCAAAAGCGAUUGCCUUAGUAGCGGCGAGCGAAACGGCAAGAGGGCAAACCGAAGAGUUUACUCUUCGGGGUUGUAGGACUGCAACGUGGACUUAAAGAUUAUAGAAGAACUACCUGGGAAGGUAGGCCAAAGAGAGUAAUAGCCUCGUAUUCGAAAUAGUCUUUAUACCUAGCAGUAUCCUGAGUACGGCGAGACACGAGAAAUCUCGUCGGAAUCUGGGAGGACCAUCUCCCAACCCUAAAUACUCUCUAGUGACCGAUAGUGAACCAGUACCGUGAGGGAAAGGUGAAAAGCACCCCGGGAGGGGAGUGAAAUAGAACCUGAAACCGUGUGCCUACAACAAGUUCGAGCCCGUUAAUGGGUGAGAGCGUGCCUUUUGUAGAAUGAACCGGCGAGUUACGAUAUGAUGCGAGGUUAAGUUGAAGAGACGGAGCCGUAGGGAAACCGAGUCUUAAUAGGGCGCAUUAGUAUCAUGUCGUAGACCCGAAACCAUGUGACCUACCCAUGAGCAGGUUGAAGGUGAGGUAAAACUCACUGGAGGACCGAACCAGGGCACGUUGAAAAGUGCUUGGAUGACUUGUGGGUAGCGGAGAAAUUCCAAACGAACUUGGAGAUAGCUGGUUCUCUCCGAAAUAGCUUUAGGGCUAGCGUCGAUGUUAAGUCUCUUGGAGGUAGAGCACUGUUUGGGUGAGGGGUCCAUCCCGGAUUACCAAUCUCAGAUAAACUCCGAAUGCCAACGAGAUAUAAUCGGCAGUCAGACUGCGAGUGCUAAGAUCCGUAGUCGAAAGGGAAACAGCCCAGACCACCAGCUAAGGUCCCAAAAUAUAUGUUAAGUGGAAAAGGAUGUGGGGUUGCACAGACAACUAGGAUGUUAGCUUAGAAGCAGCUAUUCAUUCAAAGAGUGCGUAAUAGCUCACUAGUCGAGUGACCCUGCGCCGAAAAUGUACCGGGGCUAAAACAUAUUACCGAAGCUGUGGAUACCUUUAUAGGUAUGGUAGGAGAGCGUUCUAUGUGCGAAGAAGGUGUACCGUGAGGAGUGCUGGAGCGCAUAGAAGUGAGAAUGCCGGUAUGAGUAGCGAAAGACAGGUGAGAAUCCUGUCCACCGUAAGACUAAGGUUUCCAGGGGAAGGCUCGUCCGCCCUGGGUUAGUCGGGACCUAAGGAGAGACCGAAAGGUGUAUCCGAUGGACAACAGGUUGAUAUUCCUGUACUAGAGUAUAUAGUGAUGGAGGGACGCAGUAGGCUAACUAAACCAGACGAUUGGAAGUGUCUGGCCAAGCAGUGAGGUGUGAUAUGAGUCAAAUGCUUAUAUCUAUAACAUUGAGCUGUGAUGGGGAGCGAAGUUUAGUAGCGAAGUUAGUGAUGUCACACUGCCGAGAAAAGCUUCUAGCGUUAAUUAUACUCUACCCGUACCGCAAACCGACACAGGUAGUCGAGGCGAGUAGCCUCAGGUGAGCGAGAGAACUCUCGUUAAGGAACUCGGCAAAAUGGCCCCGUAACUUCGGGAGAAGGGGCGCUGACUUAUGGUCAGCCGCAGUGAAUAGGCCCAAGCAACUGUUUAUCAAAAACACAGCUCUCUGCUAAAUCGUAAGAUGAUGUAUAGGGGGUGACGCCUGCCCGGUGCUGGAAGGUUAAGAGGAGUGCUUAGCAAUAGCGAAGGUAUGAAUUGAAGCCCCAGUAAACGGCGGCCGUAACUAUAACGGUCCUAAGGUAGCGAAAUUCCUUGUCGGGUAAGUUCCGACCUGCACGAAUGG